UACGUAGGGGGCAAGCGUUGUCCGGAUUUAUUGGGCGUAAAGAGCUCGUAGGCGGCUUGUCACGUCGGGUGUGAAAGCCCGGGGCUUAACCCCGGGUCUGCAUUCGAUACGGGCAGGCUAGAGUGUGGUAGGGGAGAUCGGAAUUCCUGGUGUAGCGGUGAAAUGCGCAGAUAUCAGGAGGAACACCGAUGGCGAAGGCAGGUCUCUGGGCCACUACUGACGCUGAGAAGCGAAAGCAUGGGGAGCGAACAGG
rnacentral:rRNA from 1 species